rnacentral:rRNA from 1 species
UACGUAGGUUGCGAGCGUUGUCCGGAAUUAUUGGGCGUAAAGAGCUUGUAGGCGGCUUGUCGCGUCUGCUGUGAAAAUCCGAGGCUCAACCUCGGACUUGCAGUGGGUACGGGCAGGCUAGAGUGUGGUAGGGGAGACUGGAAUUCCUGGUGUAGCGGUGAAAUGCGCAGAUAUCAGGAGGAACACCGAUGGCGAAGGCAGGUCUCUGGGCCACUACUGACGCUGAGAAGCGAAAGCAUGGGGAGCGAACAGG